CCAGACUCCUACGGGAGGCAGCAGUGGGGGAUAUUGCACAAUGGGGGAAACCCUGAUGCAGCGACGCCGCGUGGGCGAAGAAGUAUUUCGGUAUGUAAAGCCCUAUCAGCAGGGAAGAAGAAAUGACGGUACCUGAGUAAGAAGCACCGGCUAAAUACGUGCCAGCAGCCGCGGUAAUACGUAGGGGGCAAGCGUUAUCCGGAUUCACUGGGUGUAAAGGGAGCGUAGACGGCGACGCAAGUCUGGAGUGAAAGCCCGGGGCCCAACCCCGGGACUGCUCUGGAAACUGCGGCGCUGGAGUACGGGAGGGGCAGGCGGAAUUCCUGGUGUAGCGGUGAAAUGCGUAGAUAUCAGGAGGAACACCGGCGGCGAAGGCGGCCUGCUGGACUGCAACUGACGUUGAGGCCCGAAAGCGUGGGGAGCAAACAGGAUUAGAUACCCUCGUA
rnacentral:rRNA from 1 species